rnacentral:pre_miRNA from 1 species
CAUGUACUCCCUCCGUUUGGAAUUACUUGUCUCGAAAAUGGAUGUAUCUAGGACUAAAAUACAUCUAGAUACAUCCAUUUUUGUGACAAGUAAUUUCGAACGGAGGGAGUAGGUA